rnacentral:rRNA from 1 species
CAGAGACUGCAAGCGUUAUUCGGAUUCACUGGGCGUAAAGGGUGCGCAGGCGGCCAUGUGUGUGAGGCGUGAAAGCCCGAUGCUUAACAUCGGAAUUGCACCUCAAACUACAUGGCUAGAGCAUUGGAGAGGGUAGCAGAAUUCACGGUGUAGCAGUGAAAUGCGUAGAUAUCGUGAGGAAUACCAGAGGCGAAGGCGGCUACCUGGACAAUUGCUGACGCUCAGGCACGAAAGCGUGGGAGCAAAAGGGAUUAGAUACCCCUGUAGUCCACGCCCUAAACGGUGCACACUAGGUCUUAAAGGAUUCGAUCCCUUUAGGGCCCAAGCUAACGCGUUAAGUGUGCCGCCUGAGGACUACGGUCGCAAGACUA